rnacentral:rRNA from 1 species
GACGAACGCUGGCGGCGUGCUUAACACAUGCAAGUCGAACGAAGAGCGAUGGACGCUUGCUUCUAUCAAUCUUAGUGGCGCACGGGUGAGUAACGCGUAAUCAACCUGCCCUUCAGAGGGGGACAACAGUUGGAAACGACUGCUAAUACCGCAUACGAUCUAAUCUCGGCAUCGAGGAUAGAUGAAAGGUGGCCUCUACAUGUAAGCUAUCACUGAAGGAGGGGAUUGCGUCUGAUUAGCUAGUUGGAGGGGUAACGGCCCACCAAGGCGAUGAUCAGUAGCCGGUCUGAGAGGAUGAACGGCCACAUUGGGACUGAGACACGGCCCAGACUCCUACGGGAGGCAGCAGUGGGGAAUCUUCCGCAAUGGACGAAAGUCUGACGGAGCAACGCCGCGUGAGUGAUGACGGCCUUCGGGUUGUAAAGCUCUGUUAAUCGGGACGAAAGGCCUUCUUGCGAAUAGUGAGAAGGAUUGACGGUACCGGAAUAGAAAGCCACGGCUAACUACGUG